rnacentral:rRNA from 1 species
AGCGAACGCUGGCGGCGUGCUUAACACAUGCAAGUCGAACGUGAAAUGUAGCAAUACAGAGUAAAGUGGCGUACGGGUGAGUAACACGUGGGUAAUCUACCAAAGUGCCUGGAAUAACCGGCCGAAAGGCUGGCUAAUACUAGAUAGUUCAAGCCAUCUGUAAGGGAUGGAUUGGGAAAGGGAGCGGGUAACCGCCUUCACAUUUUGAUGAGCCCGCGUCUGAUUAGGUAGUUGGUGAGGUAAUGGCUCACCAAGCCUGAGAUCAGUAGCUGGUCUGAGAGGAUGAUCAGCCACACUGGAACUGAAACACGGUCCAGACUCCUACGGGAGGCAGCAGUGGGGAAUCUUGCGCAAUGGACGAAAGUCUGACGCAGCCACGCCGCGUGAGUGAAGAAGGCCUCGGUUGUAAAGCUCUGUCGGAGGGACGAAAACGUUAAUAGGUUAAUAGUCCACUAGACUUGAUGGUACCUCCAAGGAAGACACCGGCGUAACUCGU